CAGAAUUCAUUUCUAUUUUGUGUGAUUUCUUUGCUGCACUUGCGCGAAUUAUGACCAUGUUGGUGCUUAGGACGUGGGGGAUUCGCCUUGCUGUUCCGCCCCCCGCUGGAUGUAUGGUUAUAAAGCUUUUCUGUCUAUGGCUGACAAUAGUUAUAGAUCGCGUAUAUGGUUCGUUUCAUCGCUGAAAAUGGUGUUGGUACUACAGGCAUUGUGGUACGUGACCAUCUUAGCCAAAUAAUUGUAGCAGCUCGAAACAUUCUGCCUCAGCAGUGCUGAAGAAUCGGAAGCGCUUGCCUUCAUUGGACGAACUUGUCCAAUAAUUUUUGAGUCUGGCUGUAUCUCUGAAGUCCAAAAUUUGCAACUGGAAUUUUUUUCCUUAUCCCACCUAAGGAGCAUUUACUCAGAUUUUGCUUCCUUCUGCUGCUUUUCUUCAGAACUGGAAGUGUGCUGUUACUAGAAGAGCUCAAAAUUCUGCUGCCAAUGAGUAUACUGCCUGCGUGCGGCUGUUAGGUGUCGGAUCCAUCUGGAACAAUUUCUUCCCAGAUCGUGUAGCCAAAGCCUUGACUUUAGAUUGCAAGGGAACAUCUUAUGAUGUAUGAAUGAUGCUCUUUAUCCCUUGAUUUGGUUUUGGUUUGGGUUGGCUCAGUUUGGAUUUCAAAUUAGUCCCAGCCUUAUUUCUUGGGUAUUGUACCUGAGUUUCUAACAGAUUUUUGGUUUGCGCUGGCGACAAAUUAAUCCUGAAUAACUUAAAAUCAAGAAAAUCAGUGUGCAACUUAACAGAUUUUUUGGUUUGGGCUAGCGACAAAUUAAUUCCCAUUGUGCUUUUGACAGCACGAUUAUUAUACCUGAGUUUUUGGGUAGAUUUUUCCCUUGAUUUUUUUUGCAGUAUUGUUGGUUCCUUAGGAACUUGGACCUUCUUUUUUUACUAUGAUGCCAGCUUCAUAGUGAUGAAAUAUAAAGUGAUUCAUAGUGUACCGUAUGGCAGUGAGGAAUUUCCAUAGUGUACCAUAUAUGUUUGUUGGACUGGGAUGUUUGUUUGUUAAGCAUGACUAUGGUUACUGAAUUCAUCUUAGCUGUUCUCUGGCACCAUGUGUUUAGUUGGGGCUCCCCUAGCUGGCGAACCCGCGCCCUUCGGUCGAAGGCAGCGGCUGACAGCUACGUGAUAACCAAAGUAUACCACCAAUCGCUUUUUGUUAGUUGGAAAGACGAAUGUCUUUUGUAUUAUAUAAUCUACGCGGGUAGAAGUAAAAAGGCAAAGUAUACUUGCAAUAAAAAAAGCGAGCGAACGCAAAAGUAAAUUUUCGAACUAUUAGUCGGUCAUCCCUCAGCUUCUGACCAGAAAAUUUUUGUGCACGUAAAAGUUUGAAUUAUUUAACAAUUUUUUGUCAAAUGUUGUUCAUGGAUGCACCAUUAUUUUGGUUUGGUAUUUUUUGGCUGACAAUUUGUUUACCCACCGCGUGUUAUUUAUUAACGGUAAACGUGAAAAUUUAUCAAUCUAAGAAAGCUAAUUUCAUUUAAAAUAUUAUGCGGAUUUUUUUGGCUCACAAUUUAUCAACCCAUGCCCCGUUAUUUAUCAACGGUAAACCUAAAAAACUAUCGACCCAAAAAGCUAAUUUUAUUUAAAAUAUUUUGGAAACUUUUUGGCUCAUAAUUAUCAACCCCCUGACCCAAUAUUUAUCAACGGUAAAUGCAAAAAUAUAACGAUCGAAAAGUACGAUUUUUAUUUAGAACAUUUUGGAAACAAUUUUGGCUUACAAUUUAUCAACCCCCUACCCCGUUUUAUACAUGCCAUGAAUCAUGUGAUGUGUUGCCCAUUAUUCAUGUUUGAAAUAAGUUGUUAUGUCAUUAUGAUUAAGUUGUCUACCAGGAGUAAUUAAGUUUGCCAGCAGUUCUUGUUUAAGUUGCCUUUUUGUUUAUCCGUGCCAUAAAUCAUGCGAUGCGUUGCCAAUUAUUCAUGUUUCAAAUAAUUAAUCUGUAAUUAUGAUUAAUUUUUCUACUAGGAGUAAUUAAGUUGGCCAGUAGUUCUUGUUUAAGUUGUUUUUUUCUUAAAAUUUAUCUGUGUCAUGAAUCAUGCGAUGCGUUGCCCAUUAUUCAUGUGUCAAAUAAGUUGUUAUGUCAUUAUGAUUAAGUUGUCAACCAGAAGUAAUUAAGUUGGCCAACUGUUCCUGUUUGAGUUGCUUUUGUAUUUAUCCAUGCCAUAAAUCAUGCGACGCAUUGCCCAUUAGUCAUGUUUCAAAUAAACUGUUCUGUCAUUAUGAUUAACAGAUUAAGUUGUCUACCACGAGUAAUUAAGUUGGCCAGCUGUUAUUGUUUAAGUUGAUUUUUACUUUAUCCAUGCCAUGAGUUGGCCGUUAUCUAUGUCCUAAAUAAGUUGUUUUGUCAUAUGACAAAGUUGUCCAGUCGGAGUAAUUGAGUUGGCUUCUGAAAAUGAUUAAGUUGGUUACAAGACCGUGCAUUUUUUGGCUUCCGAAAGUAAGUACCCUUGUUGUAAACUUGUAAUACCAUGCUUAAGUUUGUCUUUUGUACAAAAUAGCUAGUUUGUUCUGGAAACAAAAUAUGUCACCUCCCACUUUCUAUUAUUAAGCUUGACGAACAUUCUAGCUGGGCAUUUUCUUUGCUUGAUGCUUUCUCUCUUGCGUCUAACGCCAAACUUGCUAGAAGUAUUCUGGUUGCAUGGACCAGCUUCUUCGCCUUACUCAUUCUCAUCAUCAAGAUGAACAGGGGUAAUAUCUUCAAUAACAGUCAUUCUCUCUUGUUGCAAUUCUUCUUCCGUCUUCGGUGCAUAAUACUUGUUACACACAAGCUGCUGCUUCUGGAGUUCUUUUGUAUGUGCUUUCCUUUUUGAUGUAUUAUUCUUGAUAAUGAACCCCACUUUGAGAGUGUACUUUUGAUAUCAUGCUUAAGUUGGUUUCUGAAAGUAAUUGAGGUGUUUUGAUAAUUAUACCUAAGUUGGCUUCUAAAAGCAAUCGAGUUGUUUUGAUACCAUGUUUAAGUUGGCUUGUGAUACCAAUUAAGUUGUUUUGAUAAUUAUACCUAAGUUGGCUCCUGAAAGUAAUCAAGUUGUUUUGAUACCAUGCUUAAGUUGGCUUCUGAGAGUUGUUUUCAUAAUUAUGCCUAAGUUAGCUUCUGAAAGUAAUCGAGUUGUUUUGAUACCAUGCUUAAGUUGGCUUGUGAAAGUAAUUGAGUUGUUUUGAUGAUUAUACCAAGUUGGCUUGCGAAAGUAAUCAAGUUGUUUUCAUACCAUGAUUAAGUUGAUUUCUGAAAGUAAUUGAGUUGCUUUGAUAAUUAUGUCUAAGUUGAUGCUUCUUGGCUGUAAAGAAGUGUGUUCCUUUCCUACUGUCCCAACUUUUUUACCAACUGUUGGUUUCAACAAAAGAUCUUAAUGUUCAACUGCUUCAUGGUCAUGCAGCACUAGGUCUUGAGAUUCACCUACAACUGCAGCAGGGAUAGCUUGAGUGCAAAAUAGCGGCUCCACAUCGUUCGUAUCGACAACAUCUUCAAUAGGGGAACAUCCAGACCUGACAUCUGAUGAAUCACAAAUACAAACUAGUUUGCGGGAGGCGUGGCAGCAUGAUCAAGGAAGGUAAAAUGGUAUCCCUGCAGCGACGCUACAAUAUUAUGCACAAAGACAGAUAUGACAGAUGCAUAGUAUUCACAAAUUACUACUGGCCGAAGCUAUAGUCUUUUAGAGAACAUAUCUUCGAACUUGUAGUCCUCUUAGUACCAUGCCAAUCGUUUGUUACGCAGAUCUGGAACUACUAGUAGCAUGUUUGUUUGUUAGCAGAUCUGGAACUACUAGUAGCAUCUUCUGGCACAACUGUCUUACUGUUUUUAUUUCCUAUUUCUCACCUUCAUAUAUGGUGGAUACAACUCAUGUAUACUAACUUACUUCUGCUUAUGACAUGAUAAGUUGCUCCUGGGAGUGUUU